AUACUUACCUGGCAGGUGAGAUAUGAUAAUCAGGAGGUGGUUUUCCCAGGGUGAGGCUUAUCCAUUGCACUCCUGAUGUACCGAUCCCUGCAGCUUUCACAAGUGCAGGAAAACUCGACUGCAUAAUCAGUGGUAGCUCGGGACUGCAUUCAUGAUGGGAACAGACCUAGA
ensembl:snRNA Gm23738 predicted gene, 23738